GACGAACGCUGGCGGCGUGCUUAACACAUGCAAGUCGAACGGACAGGCCUCUUUCGGGCGGUACUCGUGUGGCGAACGGGUGAGUAACACGUGAGUAACCUGCCCAUGUCUUUGGGAUAACUUCAGGAAACUGGGGCUAAUACCGGCUAGGAGCUCCUGCUGCCUGGUGGGGGUUGGAAAGUUUCGGCGGCUGGGGGUGGACUCGCGGCUUAUCCGCUUGUUGGUGGGGUAGUGGCUUACCAAGGCUUUGACGGGUAGCCGGCCUGAGAGGGUGAGCGGCCACAUUGGGACUGAGAUACGGCCCAGACUCCUACGGGAGGCAGCAGGGGGGAAGAUUGAACGAUGGGUGGAAGGCUGGUGCAGCAACGCCGUGUGCCGGAUGACGGUCUUCGGGUUGAAAACCGCUUUCGCUCGUGACGAAGCUUUGUGUGACGGUAGUGGGUAAAGAAGCACCGGCUAACUACGUG
rnacentral:rRNA from 1 species